rnacentral:rRNA from 1 species
AGAGUUUGAUCAUGGCUCAGGAUGAACGCUAGCUACAGGCUUAACACAUGCAAGUCGAGGGGAAACGAUAUUGGAAGCUUGCUUCCGAUAGGCGUCGACCGGCGCACGGGUGAGUAACGCGUAUCCAACCUGCCCACCACUUGGGGAUAACCUUGCGAAAGUAAGACUAAUACCCAAUGAUAUCUCUAGAAGACAUCUGAAAGAGAUUAAAGAUUUAUCGGUGAUGGAUGGGGAUGCGUCUGAUUAGCUUGUUGGCAGGGUAACGGCCCACCAAGGCAACGAUCAGUAGGGGUUCUGAGAGGAAGGUCCCCCACAUUGGAACUGAGACACGGUCCAAACUCCUACGGGAGGCAGCAGUGAGGAAUAUUGGUCAAUGGACGAGAGUCUGAACCAGCCAAGUAGCGUGCAGGAAGACGGCCCUAUGGGUUGUAAACUGCUUUUAUAAGGGAAUAAAGUGAGAGUCGUGACUCUUUUUGCAUGUACCUUAUGAAUAAGGACCGGCUAAUUCCGUGCCAGCAGCCGCGGUAAUACGGAAGGUCCGGGCGUUAUCCGGAUUUAUUGGGUUUAAAGGGAGCGUAGGCCGGAGAUUAAGCGUGUUGUGAAAUGUAGACGCUCAACGUCUGCACUGCAGCGCGAACUGGUUUCCUUGAGUACGCACAAAGUGGGCGGAAUUCGUGGUGUAGCGGUGAAAUGCUUAGAUAUCACGAAGAACUCCGAUUGCGAAGGCAGCUCACUGGAGCGCAACUGACGCUGAAGCUCGAAAGUGCGGGUAUCGAACAGGAUUAGAUACCCUGGUAGUCCGCACGGUAAACGAUGGAUGCCCGCUGUUGGUCUGAAUAGGUCAGCGGCCAUGCGAAAGCAUUAAGCAUCCCACCUGGGGAGUACGCCGGCAACGGUGAAACUCAAAGGAAUUGACGGGGGCCCGCACAAGCGGAGGAACAUGUGGUUUAAUUCGAUGAUACGCGAGGAACCUUACCCGGGCUUGAAUUGCAGAGGAAGGAUUUGGAGACAAUGACGCCCUUCGGGGCCUCUGUGAAGGUGCUGCAUGGUUGUCGUCAGCUCGUGCCGUGAGGUGUCGGCUUAAGUGCCAUAACGAGCGCAACCCCUCUCCUUAGUUGCCAUCAGGUUAAGCUGGGCACUCUGGGGACACUGCCACCGUAAGGUGUGAGGAAGGUGGGGAUGACGUCAAAUCAGCACGGCCCUUACGUCCGGGGCUACACACGUGUUACAAUGGCAGGUACAGAGAGACGGU